rnacentral:rRNA from 1 species
GACAGAGGUGCCAAGCGUUAGGCGGAAUCACUGGGCUUAAAGCGUGUGUAGGCGGAUCGUUAAGUGCCUUGUGAAAUCCCACGGCUUAACCGUGGAACUGCUCGGCAUACUGGCGGUCUUGAGCCAUCUAGGGGCUACCGGAACAAAUGGUGGAGCGGUGAAAAUGCGUAGAUAUCAUUUGGAACGUCAAUGGUGAAAACAGGUAGCUGGGGAUGCGCUGACGCUGAGACACGAAAGCCAGGGGAGCGAACGGG